rnacentral:rRNA from 2 species
GCAUAUCAAUAAGCGGAGGAAAAGAAACUAACAAGGAUUCCCCUAGUAACGGCGAGUGAAGCGGGAAGAGCACAAAUUUUAAAUCUACCUGGUUUUCAGGUCGAGUUGUAAUUUGAAGAAACGUUUUUUACGUUCCGGGUUGGAUUAAAUCCUUUGGGAUAAGGUAUCAUGGAGGGUGAGAAUCCCGUGUAUACCAACCACUGGAAUGUUAUUAAUACGAUUUCUAAGAGUCGAGUUGUUUGGGAAUGCAGCUCUAAAUGGGUGGUAAAUUUCACCUAAUGCUAAAUAUAAGCGAGAGACCGAUAGUGAACAAGUACCGUGAGGGAAAGAUGAAAAGAACUUUGAAAAGAGAGUUAAAUAGUACGUGAAAUUGUUGAAAGGGAAACGGUUGAAGUCAGUCAUACCGGUGGGAAUCAACUUAGGGGAAACUCUAAGUGCACUUCUUCGCUUGGUAGGUUAGCGUCGAUUUUGGAUGUCAUAAAAUGACUGGGGGAAGGUAGCUCCUUUUAGGAGUGUUAAGCCCUUAGUAGAUGUGAUGUCUGAGAUCGAGGAUUGCAACGGAUACCUUUUAGGUUAACCGCCUGGUCUCUAAUACGAACUUAGGUUACGGACAGCAUGCUGACUGUGAUCUAAUCUUCGGUUAAAAGAUUAGAGUGAGUGUAAAUUCGUUAAGGACGCUGACGUAAUGGCUUUAAACGAC